UACGUAGGUGGCAAGCGUUGUCCGGAUUUACUGGGCGUAAAGAGCGCGCAGGCGGUCGUUCAAGUCGCGUGUGAAAGCCCCCGGCUCAACUGGGGAGGGUCACGCGAUACUGAUCGACUCGAAGGCAGGAGAGGGUAGUGGAAUUCCCGGUGUAGUGGUGAAAUUCGUAGAUAUUAGGAAGAACACCAGUGGCGAAGGCGGCUCACUGGUCCGGUACUGACGCUGAGGUGCGAAAGCGUGGGGAGCAAACAGG
rnacentral:rRNA from 1 species